CCCUGUAGAGGGUCCGCCACCGCCGCUGCAGAGGGUCCGCCGCCGUGGAGCUUGACCGACCUGCUGCCCUCGACAACAACUUCAGGCGGAGGCAUCCGUGCUGCUCCCACCCUGCUCCUACCUUGCCGCCCUUGACCAAUACGUCCUCGGUCUGCAACCUGCUGCAACUAUAGGCGUCUUCUUCAACUUCAGAAUCAAAGGCUCCAUUAGAAUCAGAAGAUGACCAUCGCAUCCCUUCAAGGAAUUCCAGCGCCUGAGAUUCCAUGCAUUGUUAUACCACCACCUCCAGCUUUUCCAAGUUUAGCCACUUCGUCUCCGAUCUGUUCUCCAUAAGUG